GAUGAACGCUGGCGGCGUGCCUAAUACAUGCAAGUCGAGCGAACAGAUGAGGAGCUUGCUCCUCUGACGUUAGCGGCGGACGGGUGAGUAACACGUGGAUAACCUACCUAUAAGACUGGGAUAACUUCGGGAAACCGGAGCUAAUACCGGAUAAUAUAUUGAACCGCAUGGUUCAAUAGUGAAAGACGGUUUUGCUGUCACUUAUAGAUGGAUCCGCGCCGCAUUAGCUAGUUGGUAAGGUAACGGCUUACCAAGGCAACGAUGCGUAGCCGACCUGAGAGGGUGAUCGGCCACACUGGAACUGAGACACGGUCCAGACUCCUACGGGAGGCAGCAGUAGGGAAUCUUCCGCAAAGGGCGAAAGCCUGACGGAGCAACGCCGCGUGAGUGAUGAAGGUCUUCGGAUCGUAAAACUCUGUUAUUGGGGAAGAACAGAUGUGUAAGUAACUAUGCACGUCUUGACGGUACCUAAUCAGAAAGCCACGGCUAACUACGUG
rnacentral:rRNA from 1 species